CCUUCAUCGUCCCUGAAAGACUUGUAUGUUAUAAAUGUCUAUUUAAAGAGUCUGUUUGCAGGUGUUCAGGACAACUGGUCAACAUCCAUUGGACAACCAGUGUCACAUGCUAUGGACAUUAUAGUACAUUAUAGUACAUAGCGCCCACUGCAUAAAUUGCACCAUACAGUAGCAAGUUUAUCGAUACAGCGAUGCAGGGCCAGAGUAAGGGCAAACACGUGUACUUUAUGUUUGAGUGUGUAUAUAUGUGUAUGUGUUUAGAUAUGUGUGUCUGUAUAUGUAUGCAUGGAUGAAAAAAUGUAAAAGGCAGACAAACAAGAUAAAAGAAGAAAAGGGGAAAGAAGGUGGAAAAAAGAAAGAUGUCAGCAAGUGAGGUGCAAAAGGAAUUACCAA